rnacentral:rRNA from 1 species
GACGAACGCUGGCGGCGUGCUUAACACAUGCAAGUCGAACGGAAAGGCCCUGCUUUUGUGGGGUGCUCGAGUGGCGAACGGGUGAGUAACACGUGAGUAACCUGCCCUUGACUUUGGGAUAACUUCAGGAAACUGGGGCUAAUACCGGAUAGGAGCUCCUGCUGCAUGUUGGGGGUUGGAAAGUUUCGGCGGUUGGGGAUGGACUCGCGGCUUAUCAGCUUGUUGGUGGGGUAGUGGCUUACCAAGGCUUUGACGGGUAGCCGGCCUGAGAGGGUGACCGGCCACAUUGGGACUGAGAUACGGCCCAGACUCCUACGGGAGGCAGCAGUGGGGAAUAUUGCACAAUGGGCGGAAGCCUGAGGCAGCAACGCCGCGUGCGGGAUGACGGCCUGCGGGUUGUAAACCGCCUUCGCCUGUGACGAAGCGUGAGUGACGGUAAUGGGUAAAGAAGCACCGGCUAACUACGUG